UACGGAGGGUGCAAGCGUUAUCCGGAUUCACUGGGUUUAAAGGGUGCGUAGGUGGGCAAGUAAGUCAGUGGUGAAAUCUCCGGGCUUAACCCGGAAAUUGCCAUUGAUACUGUAGGGCUUGAGUAUAGUUGCCGUUGGCGGAAUAUGACAUGUAGUGGUGAAAUACAUAGAGAUGUCAUAGAACACCGAUUGCGAAGGCAGCUAACGAAACUAUAACUGACACUGAGGCUCGAAAGUGCGGGGUAUCAAACAGGA
rnacentral:rRNA from 1 species